UAAAUCGCUUAAUUUUUCUGCCUCACGUUUACAAGCUGCCGCCUACUUUCCUCCGUGGUUUUCGAGAGGUAAAAGAAAGGGCGUCAGUGCAGCCAGGGACGACUCUCUUUUCUUACCUUUAGCUGCCUAGCAGGGAGCUCUCUGCGGUGCAGGUGAAGAAAGACUUUAGCACCUCGAGGAGCAGUCUGAAGUCUCUGACGCCUCUAAGGUGGUAGAGACUGGCUUUCUUCACCAAGGUGCUGACAUGAGAGGACCAUGAAAAGCCCUCUGUGAUGCAGCUAUCUGAAGCUGUCCACCCUCUCCACCCAAGGGGG